GGGGACGUAGCUCAGUUGGGAGAGCGCGUGAAUCGCACUCACGAGGCCGGGAGUUCGAAUCUCCUCGUCUCCACCA
rnacentral:tRNA from 2 species